GGAGAGAUGGCCGAGCGGUUGAAGGCACCGGUCUUGAAAACCGGCAAUGGGAAACCAUUCGUGGGUUCGAAUCCCACUCUCUCCGCCA
rnacentral:tRNA from 1 species